CUGCAUGCUACCCGAAGCACAUAUCAUGGACCAUCUUCCCGGGGGCAAAUUGCCAGUGGCGCGUACGAGCUUAGACCCUCCCCCGCAAACACGGCCACCGCAUCGACGUGACACUCUAUUGUCGUCUUCUCGGUCGGCUGAUCUGAUCACCAGGUUUGCCUUAACCCCACAUUCGUCACAUGACAUGUCUCAGAGUUGCAGUCAGUCGAACGAAGAAGACAUCUCCCACCUGAGAUGAGGGCCUUUCUGUACCAAUUGAGCGCAACCGGCACGUGGCGUUCCAAGGACGACUCCGACAUGGCCGCCACGCCCUUGUCUGACGUGGCCACUGAGGUGUCCUUCCCUCUGUUCCCCGUACCGCACCACCCACCACCGAACCACUUGCCUCGGACAGCCGUUUAUUGUUCCGGACCAAAACCACCAGUAAGAUGACAAUAAUUAGAAGGCAAAACCCCGCACCACGCUUAUAAUGACGAUGAUGAUGACGACGACGAUAAAGAACCGUCCGCUCGCUGCAGAGGCGGGAGGAGGCAUCGAGUACCCACAUCGAUUUCCCCUUCCUCCUCAAGCCAGCAUCGAUUACUACCAUCUUCUGGGACACGAGACCCUCGCCGGCAACCAACCCACCGCAGAAUAGAAAAGAGAGGGAGGCUUCUCCCCCACGUCUUCGCUCUUUACGGUUUCCGCCAUUAAAGUGCUCACGCCCUUCCCCACGAGAAAGCCAGCAGGCCAACGUAGAAAGGGUGUACCGUGAACCCUCCGUCUUCUCUAUUAAAACCCCCUCUUUUCCCCUUUGCAGCUCAAGGAAAGAAAGGAAAGGAGCGGUCGAAAGGAGGGGAGCCAAGGAAAGCAGAGCAGACUUUGUACAGAGCCGAUGCGGUGAUGGUUGUGACGAUGGCGUUGCGGUGCUGCUUCUUGGGGGGUCUCUUACUUCUGCUACUGCUGGUGGCGUCGUCGAAGGGCGUGGUGGGGAUAUUGGACCCGGUGGACUUCCUGGCGCUGCAGGCCGUGCGGAAGCGGCUGGAGGACAUGCCCGGGUCCGACUUCUUCUCCGCGUGGGACUUCACCGACGACCCUUGCGGUUUCCCGGGCGUCUUCUGCGCCGGGGACCGCGUGGUGGCGCUCGCCCUGGGUGACCCCCGCGCGGGCUCCCCGGGCUUGCAAGGCCGCCUCGACCCCGCCCUCGGCCGCCUCUCCGCGCUCGCCGAGCUGUCCCUCGUCCCCGGCCGCGUCACCGGCCCCAUCCCCGACGCCCUUGCCCGCUGCAGCGGCCUGCGAUUCCUCGCCCUCAGCAAGAACCUCCUCUCCGGCCCCCUCCCCGCCGGCUUCGGCUCCUUCCGCCGCCUCCGCACCCUCGACCUCAGCUACAACCAGCUCUCCGGACCUGUUCCCCCCGCCCUGACCGCCGCUUCCGCACUCUCCAACAUCAUCCUCUGCCACAACCAGCUCUCCGGCCCAAUCCCGCGCUUCCCGCGCUCCGCCGCCCUCCUCCGCCUCGACCUCAAGCACAACCAGCUCUCCGGCCAUAUCCCGCCGCUGCCGUCUUCCCUGCAGUACCUCGCCCUCGGCUCCAACGCGCUCACCGGCAGCGUGGACGCCGUGCUCCCCCGCCUCACCCGCCUCAACUUCCUGGACCUCAGCUCCAACCUGCUCGAGGGCCCCAUCCCCGGAUGCGUGUUCCGACUCCGGCUCGAGGCUCUCCAACUCCAGCGCAACGCCUUCUCCGGGCGAGUGGUGCCCCAGGGAGACGUGGUCAUCCCGGUGGUAGACCUGAGCUACAACCGGCUGUGGGGAUCCGUUCCGCCGCAGCUGGCCGGCGUGGACCGCCUGUACCUCAACAACAACCGGUUCACCGGGGAGGUUCCGAGCCGCCUGGUGCAGCGGCUCAGCAACGGGAUGCAACUGCUCUACCUCCAGCACAACUUCCUGACAGGGAUCGAGUUCGGCCCUGCUGCAGCUGCCAUCCCCGUUGGCGCGGCCCUCUGCCUGCAGUACAAUUGCAUGGUUCCGCCCUUCGACACGCCCUGCCCGCUCAAGGCCGGCACGCAGAAGAUGCGCCCCGUCGACCAGUGCCCCAACUGGAGAAGCUAAUCCGCCCCUUCGUGACCACCAUCACCGCCUGUUCCAAGCAAGCACGAUCGAGUCAGCCGAAGACUUACAGAGAAUUACUACGAUAAAAAAAUAGCUUAUUAACAUACGGUAAUAAUAAAAUUCUUUUAUUAAUUUUGGGUUGUGGAAGAAGAGCACGAACAAUUAUAUAUAUAUAUAUAUAUAUAUAUAUAU